UUAAAAAGCUCGUAGUUGGAUUUCUGCUGAGGACGACCGGUCCGCCCUUCGGGUGAGUAUCUGGUUUGGCCUUGGCAUCUUCUUGGUGAACGUAUCUGCACUUGACUGUGUGGUGCGGUACCCAGGACUUUUACUUUGAGGAAAUUAGAGUGUUUCAAGCAGGCAUACGCCUUGAAUACAUUAGCAUGGAAUAAUAAGAUAGGACCUCGGUUCUAUUUUGUUGGUUUCUAGAGCUGAGGUAAUGAUUAAUAGGGAUAGUUGGGGGCAUUCGCAUUUAACUGUCAGAGGGUGAAAUUCUUGGAUUUGGUUAAGGAC
rnacentral:rRNA from 1 species